CUGGAUUCGGGGAGGCGUGAAAAUGGAGAAUUACUGAGAGCCUUAUAAUGCUUACUGAGUUUGAAGAAACACCAGUGGCUUGAACCAAACUGCCAGUGGAUGAUGUCUGUGGCUGCCUCUGACAGACUGAACCCUGAAAAGAGGCAACUUGUCUCUUCCCCUUGUGUUUUCCAGCCAGUCUGAUUGUUGGCCCCACCCUGAUUGUUUCCACCUGUUCCCCAUUACCGAGUCUCUAUUAUGGUUUGUCUCCUUUUGUCCGUGUCAGUUUGUCUUUUCUUGUGAACCAGAGAACCAGCGUAAGCCUUUGUCUUCAGGAAUUAUCAGUAUCUGCUCCAUGCCACUGUGUCGUCAGGUUUUUGUACUUUUGUUUUCUACUUUGUCAAGCCCUUUUUUUCUAGUUUUUCCCUCGAAAGACUUAGCAGUGGAUUUUUGUUGCACUUUGAAAAUAAAUAAAAAGUUAGUUGAUUUUUCACUGCAAUUAGGUCCAAGUCUUUGUCCCUGUGUGACAGAAUGGUUGUUUGUCUCUGUAUGUCUCUAUUGCCCUAUGUCAGCUGAGACACAGUGACCCCGCAACUUUAUCCUGUGGAGGAUAAAGGAGUAGAAAAUAGAUGGAUGGAUGAAUACUGAGGAGCUUGUGUUAAAGUCAGUGUGGGUUCCAAGUUUAAUGGUGUAGGGACUGGGCCAAACCCUAAGUAGAUUAAGGUCCUAUAUUAACAGAACUAACUUCCUGUAAAAAGGAAACUAUAUACUCAUGGUUCUGUCUCUCAUGCAUCUGUGGUCUUCUCCGUCCAUUACCUGCACAGCCUGCCUCUCGGACGGCAGGACACUGAGGGAGGCUGAGGGCGCCUGGGUGCACGUGGUGCUAC